AAGUGGGGAUGACGUCAAAUCAUCAUGCCCCUUAUGACCUGGGCUACACACGUGCGUACAAUGGGCGGUACAAAGGGUCGCGAACCCGCGAGGGGGAGCCAAUCCCAAAAAGCCGCUCUCAGUUCGGAUUGCAGGCUGCAACUCGCCUGCAUGAAGCCGGAAUCGCUAGUAAUCGCGGAUCAGCAUGCCGCGGUGAAUACGUUCCCGGGCCUU
rnacentral:rRNA from 1 species